rnacentral:rRNA from 1 species
UACGUAGGGGGCAAGCGUUGUUCGGAUUUACUGGGCGUAAAGGGCGCGCAGGCGGCUCAUUUUGUCAGGCGUGAAAGCCCCGGGCUUAACCUGGGAACUGCGUUGAUACGGAUGGGCUAGAGUUCGGGAGAGGAGAGUGGAAUUCCCAGUGUAGAGGUGAAAUUCGUAGAUAUUGGGAAGAACACCGGUGGCGAAGGCGGCUCUCUGGACCGAGUACUGACGUCAGAGGCGCGAAAGCGUGGGAGCAACGGAGUAAGAACCUUGGAUACG